rnacentral:rRNA from 1 species
GAAUUCAACUCCUACGGGAGGCAGCAGUGGGGAAUUUUGGACAAUGGGCGCAAGCCUGAUCCAGCAAUGCCGCGUGAGUGAUGAAGGCCUUAGGGUUGUAAAGCUCUUUUACCCGGGAUGAUAAUGACAGUACCGGGAGAAUAAGCCCCGGCUAACUCCGUGCCAGCAGCCGCGGUAAUACGGAGGGGGCUAGCGUUGUUCGGAAUUACUGGGCGUAAAGCGCACGUAGGCGGCUUUGUAAGUUAGAGGUGAAAGCCCGGGGCUCAACUCCGGAACUGCCUUUAAGACUGCAUCGCUUGAAUCAUGGAGAGGUUAGUGGAAUUCCGAGUGUAGAGGUGAAAUUCGUAGAUAUUCGGAAGAACACCAGUGGCGAAGGCGACUAACUGGACAUGUAUUGCCGCUGAGGUGCGAAAGCGUGGGGAGCAAACAGGAUUAGAAACCCUUGUAGUCCAGGCGUU